GGGGAAUAUUGCACAAUGGGCGAAAGCCUGAUGCAGCAACGCCGCGUGAGGGAUGACGGCCUUCGGGUUGUAAACCUCUUUUAGUAGGGAAGAAGCGAAAGUGACGGUACCUGCAGAAAAAGCACCGGCUAACUACGUGCCAGCAGCCGCGGUAAUACGUAGGGUGCAAGCGUUGUCCGGAAUUAUUGGGCGUGAAGAGCUCGUAGGCGGUUUGUCGCGUCUGCUGUGAAAUCUGGGGGCUCAACCCCCAGCCUGCAGUGGGUACGGGCAGACUAGAGUGCGGUAGGGGAGAUUGGAAUUCCUGGUGUAGCGGUGGAAUGCGCAGAUAUCAGGAGGAACACCGAUGGCGAAGGCAGAUCUCUGGGCCGUAACUGACGCUGAGGAGCGAAAGCGUGGGGAGCGAAC
rnacentral:rRNA from 1 species